rnacentral:rRNA from 1 species
CCUACGGGAGGCAGCAGUGGGGAAUAUUGGACAAUGGGGGGAACCCUGAUCCAGCGACGCCGCGUGAGUGAAGAAGUAUUUCGGUAUGUAAAGCUCUGUCAGCAGGGAAGAAAGAAAUGACGGUACCUGACCAAGAAGCCCCGGCUAACUACGUGCCAGCAGCCGCGGUAAUACGUAGGGGGCAAGCGUUAUCCGGAAUUACUGGGUGUAAAGGGAGCGUAGACGGUUAAGUAAGUCUGGAGUGAAAGGCCGGGGCCCAACCCCGGGACUGCUCUGGAAACUAUUGAACUUGAGUGCAGGGGAGGUAAGCGGAAGUCCUAGUGUAGCGGUGAAAUGCGUAGAUAUGAGGAGGAACACCAGUGGCGAAGGCGGCUUACUGGACUGUAACUGACGUUGAGGCUCGAAAGCGUGGGGAGCAAACAGGAUUAGAUACCCCUGUAGUC